ACAUGUAAUAGGUGAACAUAACUAAUCGUUUAGUCGGUAUGAUCUCCCUCUGAAAGCUGUACCAGUAGUUCGUUCAGGUUGCACCCGAUUGUUUGUUGGGGCUGGAGCUCCUAUUCUCCAUCUUGCAACCAGUUUAUGUACCCAUCUUGGAGUUUUAAGCAAGGUCUUUCCAGUUGCAAGUGGAUGCAACACAGUCAAAAAGUAAUAUAGAUGCCCUGCAAUGAUUCCCAGCAGAUCCGGCAUAAGAGGGGAACCAAAAAUGACAUCUAAAGCAAGCAUAGCCCAUGGUAGAUAAAAUGCCUUAAGAGUCACAAGGCCAUAUAUGUUGAUCUGAGCAUUUGGGAAUUCUCUACUCCAGACAUAGACAAGCAUGAACACAAGUGAUAUCCCCAAGAAAGGAGACCAAAAUAUAGGAAUGGCAGAUAAUACUAGCAUUGAAAAGGCUCCAAAUAGGAUCAUCCACAAGAAAUCUGCCGUACGCCUAUCAAAUGGUCCUUUCUCAAGUUGAACGCCAUACCUUGCUAUCAUUAAGAGGCGAAUUCCAAAAUUGAUAGAAAAUUUUCCAAGAAAAAAGAAGUUUGUAAUAAG
rnacentral:misc_RNA from 1 species